GAAGAAGCACCGGCUAACUCCGUGCCAGCAGCCGCGGUAAUACGGAGGGUGCAAGCGUUAAUCGGAAUUACUGGGCGUAAAGCGCACGCAGGCGGUCUGUCAAGUCGGAUGUGAAAUCCCCGGGCUCAACCUGGGAACUGCAUUCGAAACUGGCAGGCUUGAGUCUUGUAGAGGGGGGUAGAAUUCCAGGUGUAGCGGUGAAAUGCGUAGAGAUCUGGAGGAAUACCGGUGGCGAAGGCGGCCCCCUGGACAAAGACUGACGCUCAGGUGCGAAAGCGUGGG
rnacentral:rRNA from 1 species